CUGCAACCCAAUAGAUGCUACCAUAGUUGCAACUGGGGGUGCAGAGGAUAAAGGCUUUCUCUUGAAGAUUGGAGAUGGAGAUUAGAAAGUGGAGUUAAAUGGUAUGUCAUUAUUCUGUUACGCAUUAUGGUUUGUUGAGUACAGGAUUUUUGUCAGGAUAAUGAUUAGGGUUGAAGACUUUGAACUAAUAUAUGUAAAUAGGUGGCUGGGGAUCUUUUUAAGACAAGACAGUUUUAAUUCUGUCGUUUUAUAAUGGUAAAGAUUUUCCUUUGAAUUGGUGUUAUUUAGGGUUUAGCCAUAUGUCUUCCUAGUCCCAAUCAACACUGAUUAUCUGGAUUCUUUAUGUAUUUCUUAUCUUCAACAAAUUUUCUCUAUGCAUUUCGUUGCAAGUCAUGACAAUUCUGUUUCUUGUUUAGCCUUUAGUUCUGAUAGGCAGUUGCUUGCAUAUGGUGGUGUUGGUGUAACAGUUCGAAUAUGGGACUCGUCAGGUCAUCACAUACACACUUUAUUUGUUUUUACUGUGGUUUUCUUGAGCAUUUGUCUUAUGAAGACCUUUCCCAGUGGAUCAGGUGGCAUCCAAGACGUCCUUUUACGUUGGCGAGUUCUACUGAUUGCGUUGCUUUGAUGUGGGAUUCUGAAAAAUGUGUCCUCUUCAAUACAUUUUACGGUCAUGGUAGAUCUGUGACAUGAGGUGAUUUUACACCUGACGAUCAUAUUAUUUGUACUGGUUCUACUGAUGCAACUCUGAGGAUAUGGGAUGCAAUAAGAAGCGAGGCAAUUCAUGUUAUAGGAGGCAGUGAAUUUUGCCAUUGAUUCCAUUUCAACUUCCAAUUUCCUGUUCCAUUGCCAAGCCAGGAAUAAGCCCCUUGAGAUUUCCCAUAACUGAAAACAGGGGUUGCACCAACCUGCUUGCUGAUUUACAAACUACUAGCUUGCUAUCACAAACUUUGUAAAACUUUUUAAAUUGGAAGCGUUUGAGCUUAUUUUUAUUCAGCGCUUUGUUUCGUUCCUCAAUGCCCUUAGGAACCUUUUUGACCUCAAGAACACAAUGUCUAAGCUUCCCUCUUCA